rnacentral:lncRNA from 1 species
UGAGGGAAUGUUAUCUUGACAUUUGGGCUUCUGGGUUCUAGAUGUGGAUACAAGGUGGGGUGAUCCCUUCUUAGGAAAAGUCCAGCCUCUUCUGUGCUCUCUCCCUUAUGUGGCUUUUUGGACGUUUGUUACAUGGUGUUUCAUUUCUGAAUAUUAUUUUAGGCCCCUGUUUGCAAUCACAGAGCAAAACUCUGUCUCAAAAAAAAAAAAAAAAAAAAAAAGGAGGAGGAAGGAACAAAAUUGCCGCUCAGGACAAUGGCAAUUUUCUGGUUGUGACAAUUGUACCACGGUCAUAUAAGAUGGCAAUGUUCAGGAAGCUGAGUAAGGGCUAUAUGGAAACUAGAUAAUUUUUU